GGCCCGAUGGUUUAGGGGUAUAAUACUCGCUUAGGGCAGUAAGAACUUGUUCUUCAUAACCUUAAGUCGUUUGCGAGUGGUCCCGGGUUCGAUUCCCGGUUGGGCCC